CACUCCUGCGGGAGGCAGCAGUGGGGAAUUUUGGACAAUGGGCGAAAGCCUGAUCCAGCAAUGCCGCGUGUGUGAAGAAGGCCUUCGGGUUGUAAAGCACUUUUGUCCGGAAAGAAAUCCUUGGCUCUAAUACAGUCGGGGGAUGACGGUACCGGAAGAAUAAGCACCGGCUAACUACGUGCCAGCAGCCGCGGUAAUACGUAGGGUGCGAGCGUUAAUCGGAAUUACUGGGCGUAAAGCGUGCGCAGGCGGUUUGCUAAGACCGAUGUGAAAUCCCCGGGCUCAACCUGGGAACUGCAUUGGUGACUGGCAGGCUAGAGUAUGGCAGAGGGGGGUAGAAUUCCACGUGUAGCAGUGAAAUGCGUAGAGAUGUGGAGGAAUACCGAUGGCGAAGGCAGCCCCCUGGGCCAAUACUGACGCUCAUGCACGAAAGCGUGGGGAGCAAACAGGAUUAGAAACCCCUGUAGUCCCAUGA
rnacentral:rRNA from 1 species